ensembl:snoRNA
AGCCUCAUUCUUAAUGAGCAGGGCACUGCUGAUCACAGUGUUCAAAAAAUUGUCACUGGGGCUAAACUGAGACAGGUUAUGCUCACAUCACAGCAAAUUUAUUGCAGUGGUGACAAUGAGACCAGUAACAUUU